CUGCGAUCAGGCCAGCAUCGGUUCCGGCGGUCGGAUAAAGGCCCUGGGAAUGUAGCUCCCUUCGGGGAGUCUUAUAGCCCUCGGUGCAAUGCGGCCAGCCGGGACCGAGGACCGCGCUUCGGCUAGGAUGCUGGCGUAAUGGUUGUAAGCGACCCGUCUUGAAACACGGACCAAGGAGUCUAACAUCUAUGCGAGUGUUUGGGUGUCAAACCCAUGCGCGGAAUGAAAGUGAACGGAGGUGAGAACCCUUUAGGGCGCAUCAUCGACCGAUCCAGAUGUCUUCGGAUGGAUUUGAGUAUGAGCAUAGCUGUUGGGACCCGAAAGAUGGUGAACUAUGCCUGAAUAGGGUGAAGCCAGAGGAAACUCUGGUGGAGGCUCGCAGCGGUUCUGACGUGCAAAUCGAUCGUCAAAUUUGGGUAUAGGGGUAUGUGUUCUGUUCGAGAUCAUGAGAUGAGAUUCAAUGCUAAUUUUUAAUAUAGGCGAAAGACUAAUCGAACCAUUCCUUUAUUACGCUAUAGGUGGUUAAUAAAAGUAUAUUGCUUCUCAAAUACUUUCAGUCCUUCGGGGCGACAUCACUACUUGCAUGAACGAACCUUUAGGUUGACAUGCUGCAGUUCUUCCCACUCGUGUGGGUCCUGUUCACAGACCAAAUAGUGGUGGCCGAGCUAUUCCUUCUGGGAAUGCUUGGUUUAGAAAUGGCCGAGUCCUACUCUUAAUCGAGUCGGUUCUGGGACGGUGGGUAUAUUCCUAUUGCAGACGGUUAAUGCUUGCCUUUGGGGCAGCACGACCGGGCUAGCAAUUUGG
rnacentral:rRNA from 1 species